GCAAACUUGGUCAUUUAGAGGAAGUAAAAGUCGUAACAAGGUCUCCGUUGGUGAACCAGCGGAGGGAUCAUUAUCGAGUUUAUCCAACUCCCAACCCUUUGUGAACCUACCUUUAUGUUGCUUCGGCGGUGCCGCGCCGGGCUGCUCCCUCCUGGGGAGCUCCCGGGACCACGCGCCCGCCGGAGACCACAAACUCUUGAUUUUGCGAAAGCAGUAUUCUUCUGAGUGGCCGAAAGGCAAAAAACAAAUGAAUCAAAACUUUCAACAACGGAUCUCUUGGUUCUGGCAUCGAUGAAGAACGCAGC
rnacentral:misc_RNA from 1 species